rnacentral:rRNA from 1 species
ACUCCUACGGGAGGCAGCAGUGGGGAAUAUUGCACAAUGGGCGCAAGCCUGAUGCAGCAACGCCGUGUGAGUGAAGAAGGUUUUCGGAUCGUAAAACUCUGUCCUAAGGGAAGAAACAAAUGACGGUACCUUAGGAGGAAGCCCCGGCUAACUACGUGCCAGCAGCCGCGGUAAUACGUAGGGGGCAAGCGUUAUCCGGAAUCACUGGGCGUAAAGGGUGCGUAGGCGGCUUAGCAAGCCAGGGGUGAAAGGCAUUGGCUCAACCAAUGUAAGCCUUUGGAACUGUUAAGCUUGAGUGCAGGAGAGGUAAGUGGAAUUCCUAGUGUAGAGGUGAAAUUCGUAGAUAUUAGGAGGAACACCAGUGGCGAAGGCGACUUACUGGACUGUAACUGACGCUGAUGCACGAAAGCGUGGGUAGCGAACAGGAUUAGAUACCCUGGUAAGCACAGAG